CUAAUGAUGAUAUACAUGUUGGUAGGGACAUCUGAAUUACUGUGAUGAAACGCCAACCAUACUGAACGCAUUGG
ensembl:snoRNA small nucleolar RNA SNORD74